AGAGUUUGAUCCUGGCUCAGAGUGAACGCUGGCGGCGUGCCUAACACAUGCAAGUCGAACGAUGAAGUCCCUCGGGAUGGAUUAGUGGCGCACGGGUGAGUAAUGCAUAGAUAAUGUGCCCCUUAGUUCGGGAUAGCCACUGGAAACGGUGAUUAAUACCGGAUACUCCUUCUUACUAUAAGGUAAGUCGGGAAAGUUUUUCGCUAAGGGAUCAGUCUAUGUUCCAUCAGGUAGUUGGUGAGGUAAUGGCUCACCAAGCCUAUGACGGAUAUCUGGUUUGAGAGGAUGAUCAGACACACUGGAACUGAGACACGGUCCAGACUCCUACGGGAGGCAGCAGUGAGGAAUAUUGCACAAUGGAGGAAACUCUGAUGCAGCAACGCCGCGUGGAGGAUGACGCAUUUCGGUGUGUAAACUCCUUUUAAGAGGGAAGAUUAUGACGGUACCUCUUGAAUAAGCACCGGCUAACUCCGUGCCAGCAGCCGCGGUAAUACGGAGGGUGCAAGCGUUACUCGGAAUCACUGGGCGUAAAGCGCAUGUAGGCGGUCUUGUAAGUUGGGUGUGAAAGCCUAUGGCUCAACCAUAGAAUUGCACCCAAAACUACUAGACUAGAGUCUGGGAGAGGAAAAUGGAAUUAGUUGUGUAGGGGUAAAAUCCGUAGAGAUAACUAGGAAUACCAAAAGCGAAGGCAAUUUUCUGGAACAGUACUGACGCUCAGAUGCGAAAGCGUGGGUAGCAAACAGGAUUAGAUACCCUGGUAGUCCACGCCCUAAACGAUGAAUGUUAGUCGUCGGGAGGCUCGUCCUUUCGGUGAUGCAGUUAACACAUUAAACAUUCCGCCUGGGGAGUACGGUCGCAAGAUUAAAACUCAAAGGAAUAGACGGGGACCCGCACAAGUGGUGGAGCAUGUGGCUUAAUUCGAGAUACGCGAGAACCUUACCUAGCCUUGACAUUGAUAGAAUCUGAUAGAAAUAUUGGAGUGCCAGUUUACUGGAGCUUGAAAACAGGUGCUG
rnacentral:rRNA from 1 species